rnacentral:rRNA from 1 species
CGGACGGGUGAGUAACGCGUGAGAAUUUGCCUUUAGGAGGGGGAUAACAACUGGAAACGGUUGCUAAUACCCCAUAUGCUUUCGAGUGAAAUGGAUUUUUCCGCCUAAAGAGAAGCUUGCGGCUGAUUAGCUUGUUGGUAAGGUAAUGGCUUACCAAGGCGACGAUCAGUAUCUGGUUUGAGAGGACGAUCAGACACACUGGAACUGAGACACGGUCCAGACUCCUACGGGAGGCAGCAGUGGGGAAUUUUCCGCAGUGGGCGAAAGCCUGACGGAGCAAUACCGCGUGAGGGAUGACGGCCUAUGGGUUGUAAACCUCUUUUUUCAGGGAGGAAUCAAUGACGUGUACCUGAAGAAUAAGCAUCGGCUAACUCCGUGCCAGCAGCCGCGGUAAGACGGGGGAUGCAAGUGUUAUCCGGAAUCACUGGGCGUAAAGCGUCUGUAGGUGGUUAAAUAUGUCAACUGUUAAAUCUUGAGGCUCAACCUCAAAAUCGCAGUCGAAACUGUUUGACUUGAGUAUAGUAGGGGUAAAGGGAAUUUCCAGUGGAGCGGUGAAAUGCGUAGAGAUUGGAAAGAACACCGAUGGCGAAGGCACUUUACUGGGCUAUUACCGACAAUGAGAGACGAAAGCUAGGGUAGCAAAUGGGAUUAGAUACCCCAGUAGUC